UUCGUACGUGUGUCAUAUUCUAAUUCUAAUCAACUCGAGAAGGCUAAAGGAUACUUGGAAUCCAAGGAAGCGGCAGAACACUCAACAGCCUCUGAAAUCUGAACCUCUCUAGUAGUCUACUGUUGACACUCCUCAAACUGAACUCUGAAAGAUAAGAAUUGGAAAUGGCUUCCACCUCCGACAACUCACCAUCGUUGAAGGCGAAGAUCAUACUUGGGUCGUCGUCGCCGGCGCGCCGCGAAAUCAUGUCCAAUAUGGGAUACGAGUUCACCGUCGUGAUCGCUGACAUCGAUGAGAAAGCCAUCAGGAGGGACAAGCCGGAGGAGCUGGUCAAGGCCCUGGCCGAAGCCAAGGCCGACGCAGUUAAGCUGAAGCUUCAUGACAGCUCCACUCGAGACAGCAGAGACCAGCAUGCACUUCUGAUAACUUCUGACCAGGUUAUGGUGAGCAAGGGGAUUGUAAGGGAGAGGCCGACAAACACGGACGAAGCCACAGAGUUCAUCAAUGCGUAUUCGGGUGAUCGAGCGUUCGCUGUGAACUAUGUUCUCGUGACCAACCUGAGCACCGGAGGCAGAAAAGGGGGAUGGGAUAUACCCGAGAUUCAUUUUCACCACAUACCGGACGCGUUCAUCGAGGAAGUUGUGAAGCAAAGGGACAUGACCUGCGUGGCUGGGGGGCUCAAGCUGACGCAUCCAUCAGUGUUGCCAUUCAUCAAGGAACUUGUUGGUACAACGGACAGCGUUCGAGGGCUUCCGAGGGAGCUCACCGAGAAGCUUAUUCAAGAAUCGAUGGAAGCAGCAUAUGCUAACGAUAAACUUCCGAACGAGCCUGUACUAAGUAUUGAUAGGGAUUCCGAACCGCUGACAUCGACGAGAAGGCCAUCAGGAGGGACAAGCCGGAGGAGCUGGUCAAGGCCCUGGCCGAAGCCAAGGCCCAAGGCGUUAAAACUGAAGCUUCAUGACGGCUCCGGUGAAAAUCGAAACAGCAGAGACCAACCUAUCCUCCUGAUCACUUCUGACCAGGUUAAGGUGAGCAAGGGGAUUAUAAGGGAGAGGCCGAGAAGAACGGAGGAAGCCAGAGAAUUCAUCAACGGUAAGGAACUUUUCAGGCAUGUUAUUGCGGAUCCACAUGGCUAACAAGUUACUUCUACACCUGGUGUUGUGGACUUGUGGCAGCUUAUUCGGGUGAUCGAGCGUUCGCAGUGAACUAUGUUCUCGUGACCAACCUGAACACCGGGGCUACAAAAGGAGGCUGGGACAUAUCCGAGAUCCAUUUUCACCACAUACCGGAUGCCUUUAUCCAGGAAGUGGUGAAGGAAGGAGGCAUGACUUGCGUGGCUGGGAGCCUCAGGCUGAUUCAUCCAUCAGCAUUGCCAUUGAUCAAGGAACUGGUCGGUACCGCAGACAGCGUUCGAGGGCUUCCGAGGGAGCUCACCGAGAAGCUUAUUCGAGAAUCGCUGGAAAGCAACUUAGCAUAAUGUACGAGUUAGAGAUCUGCAGCGAAAAAAUUGCCGAUUCUAUACGUCAAGUUUGUUGAUCUGUUAAAGAAUAAAGGGCUGUAAGAAUGGUGUAUUUCUGUUUUUUUAGGGGUAUGGUGUAUUUCUGUUGGAUGUUCCCAAAGGAACGAUCAUUAUUUAUCA